CACGGGCCGGCUCAACCCGC
rnacentral:snRNA from 1 species